AUCUCACCAGUUGAAUUUCGCCGCUCGAACACUUUGCAUCUGAUCGCUCCUGUCGACACUUUCUUUACGCGUCUUGUCAUCGCAUCGACGUUUCUUGACUGAUUAUCAUUCGAUAAUUAUUUCUUAAAUAAUUACUCGCUAAACACUCACUUCUUAAAUAAUUAUUCGCUAAACACGCGUUUUUUAAAUAAUUAUUUAAUCAAUUUAGCGCGUUAACGCGCGAACAUAUCUUCAACACUGAUCGAGAUGCGGCAGGUGUGGAUCGUGCAACAAUUACCGAUGCCGGAGGUGUCGAACGUGUUUUAUCCAUUGAACACGAGCCUGGAGGACGAAAUGAAGAGAUUGUUUACGAACUUCUGGAUCGAGAAGACUACAUCUGCGCCUUCGGUAAAUGUUGAGGAUGUCAUGGAAGAGUUCCGUCACAAUGGCCGCGACUUCGAGUACUGUCCAGAUAUGGACAGCGACGCAUUGAACGAAAAGUCGCCGCCACGUCGCAAGAAGAACAAGAAACCUUUGCCUACAGAAUGCGUUUUCUGUAGAAACAAUGGCGAAGAAGAGACUUACUACAGGGAACACUUAUUGAAAGACGUCGAUGGCCGCGUCCGUUGUCCAGUAUUGAGAGCGUACACGUGUCCAAUUUGUGGCGCUACUGGCGACGAAGCCCAUACGAUCAAGUACUGUCCAAAGAACCCUGGAACGUGGACAACCGUGAACGCCUUCAAACUGUUGAGAAACUCGAUGGGCAAACGACGCAAGUAAAAAUGCGCGUGCAUUUUUACUCGACGUCCUCGCGUCGUUAUCGUGUUAAAAAACGACGCGACGAUUUUCUUCGGGGGCUCGACGCUUGGAGCUUCGAAAUUCGACAUGUUCGAUCGUUCCUCCGUAUCAUCUGCUGGCAGGAAAUACAAGGCAUCCUGUGUGUACAUAAACGUCGACUGGCGUUAUAAAUCGUUCAAUAGAGGACGAGCCACUGGACGGAAAACAAGUCAUGUCGCGGCUCCUCGCGUCGGCGUGUGCUAUCUCGAUCGUCCUAAUGAUUUCGGAAACCGUGUCGCUGGAUCGACCUGGCCGAGGUACGACGAGACAGCUCGAAUCGUCACCCUUGUUCUUGUUCCACUUGCUGAAGCUGAAGCACAAGAUUCAGAGAAUAGAGAACAUUCCGACCAUACCGACAACCGCGGAUUGCAUUUGCAUACCUCACUAUCUGUGUGACAUCAACGGUACCGUCACGCCGGAUAAGAUCGGAACGAUCGAUAUUCGAUAUAGAAGAUGUACGGGUGACUUGGAAGUCUGCUGUCGCCUGGUGAACGCAACCACCACGACAACUACUACUACAACUACGACCAUGCGAACUACCACGACAACUAAAGCAACUACUACAACAACUAAAGCAACUACUACAACAACCAAAGCACCAACGACCACGACCACAACUCUUCCGCCAAUUAUAUUCCCGAAUUCAGAAUCCCCUAAUGCUGAAAUCUGUGUAUGCGUGCUGGUGACGCAAUGCGAUCCAAAUGGAAUCAUUGGAUCGUCAGGCGAGGGUGUGAUCAACCCCCGAAUACAAUACGUCCAAUGUCCCAGCAGCAAUCAGGUCUGUUGCAUGCCAACAGCAGUGAUACAGUAUCCUACAACUCCUCCAACUGCUCGUCAAAUCUGCGUCCUUUGUGGAAGCACGAUCCAGUGCAGCAAUGGGGUCGUGGUUCCCGUGAACGUCGGGGUCGUGAACCCCGUGGUGACCUACCAACAAACGUGCCCAGUGCCCACUACCUGCUGCCAAGGGAUUAAUCCAAUAUACAACAACGGGAUUCCAGUGGUACUGGGGCCCGUCAGGUACGCCAACACUCCUCAGGCUUGUUACUGCGUCAAGAGCUGGCUUUGCGCCCCUGGAAACUCGGUCAGUUGGGAUAACGCUGGCGCCAUUGACC